GCCUCGGUAGCUUGGUGGUUACCGCGUCGAGCUGGCAACCCGGGGAUCACGGGUUCGAACCUUCACCUGGGAA